CUCUCCUAGGGUUUCCCCCUUCCCUCCUCGUGCAGCCACCAACUCCCUACCUUGCUAUCGCCCUACUGGUCAGUUUAUGUGUAUGUGAGAGAGAUUCAGAGAGACAUUCAGGGAGAGUCAGGGAAGAUCGCCGGAGAUCGUCGUUUUCCUCGCGGGUGUCAGGCACCAGGCUCUUCUUCAGCAUGUCAUACCUCCCCGCGUCGUCGUCCUCGACAGAUUCUGGGUGAUAGAUGCACAGCCCCGCUUCUCCAUCGUCGGCCUCGACUACGUUUUCUUCGUGGACCGGGUGCUCCGUGCGCAUCAUCCCCACCUUUGUUAGCCGCGUCAUCCCUCCGUCUCCGGUCACCGCAGUAUGGUUUGACUCCAGCAACAACCCUGCGAUCCAGAGGCGUUCGAUGCUUCGCAGCUCGAGUGGGAGUUUGAUGAGGAGGGCAGGCGCAUGUACGUGACGUACCCCGAUGAGUAGAAGGCCUCGGUCGUUUCCUCGGAUAGCGAGACACACUCAUUGCAUUUUAUCUUUUGAUUUCGUUCGUAGACGGGCCCUGUCUUCUGAAUGGUUGAAAUAAAUGUUGUGUGACUUGUAAUUUAACUUGUGGCAAGUGUAAACUAAUCCAUAUACUCAUCUCUUCAUAAAUGUAUCUGCAAUGGUUUA